rnacentral:lncRNA from 10 species
GUUCUAGCGCUCUACGGUAUCUAUUGAACAUAAUACAAUUAUCUUCUCUCCUGCAUCUAGAAUGGUAUUAGCCAUGCACUCUCCUUGGGGGAAUUGAGAAAAUACUUACUAAAAUUAGCUCCUAAAGGGACUGUUUAUCUCUCUGAACUGAUUGAGAAAGGCUGCAAGCAUGAUAACUGUGGUGCAUGCAACUGAGGAGACCCUUAAGGGAGUGUAAAAAUUGUAGCAAAAAAUGCCUAGAUACCCUAUCCCAGGAAGGUGAAGACAGGGAAGGUGUUCUCUGGCAGGUAUGAGGUGAAAAGGCAGGAGUCCUGGCUCCUGGAGAACAUGAUUGUGACAGUCCUAUAGGUGUCUUGACACUGUGGAGAGUAGCAGCUUCUGAUAGAGGAAAAACAGAAACAGAAAAUGGAAAUUCUUUUGGCACCUCUGUUUAUGCUUGUCCUACUUGUUGUUUGAAUGCCUUAUAAAUAUAUGAAAAUAUACUGAACCCAAAAUUGUGACAUGCUGACCUGAUGUCCUGCAUCCUUUAAAUAGAAGUACAUAGAUCAUGGUCAGGAUUACAACGUGGAGAGGUGAGUAUGAUCAGACAGGUGGCCCAAGUUCAUUAACUGUCUACCUCCAACAUUUCCUUAGCUCCAGAUACUCAAUUUGACCAUCCAUAAAAAGAGAUGGUACUAUUUACCUUUUAAGGUUGUGGGGAGAUUCUAAUGAGAUAGAAGAGAGAGCCUAAGACAAUAUCUGGUAUAUAAUAAGUGCUCACAAAAUCACAGGGAUUAUUACUUCUCUUGGUGUUAAUUGCUUCAUAAUAAGACAGGCAUACGCAUUCUCUUAAGAAAUGAAAAAAUAAGAAACUAAAAUUGUUUUAUCCUGUCCCCCUUUCCAGCCUUGGGAGGACUACUCAGAUGAUAGGAACCAGUGGUUGAAAAAGAAAGAGAAACAAGAUGAAAGGAUUCGUGACUUUUCUGGGAAGUAUAAAAAGCUAUUUUGUGCCUCUUCUUUAUUUAGUUGCCAAUAGAUUGUUUUAUUUAUCUAUCUUGUUGUGUGAUAAAAUGCGAUAUGGGAGUAAUUGUUUUUCUUGUGUGUGCAUGCAUGUACGUAUUUCUAUUUUGAUGAAGUGCUGACCCUGCUGAUUCAGAAUACCUUUAAGUUUUACAAAGAUUUUGUUUUCUCCUGGCUUCCUCUUGCAUACACAAAGGCAGUAAUAGAGUGUCAUUUAAAUAAUAUGCCUUGGUUAGAACACAGCAAACUAGUUAAGAGAAACAUUUUAGAGGUUGACCUAAAAUACAUUAACUUUGAAAUAAAUAUACAUCUGGUAUAAAGAAUGAAUUUUACCAAAUAUGCAUAUCAGUUAUACCAACAGAUACCAUUUUGGGAAGAUACGUAUUCUGGUUUUAAAAAUAUUUUAGUUUGAGUUCAGUUGUAUUAUAGCUUACAUAAUACUAAUUAGAUGCUGGCUCAGAACUAUGUGUUAGUCAAAAAUUUUGGCUAGGUUCUCAUGAAAUAUCUGAAAGGCUAAAGAACAAUGUAAUUAUGCAUACAUUUAAAAUUUUGAAAGAAACAUCCCAUGUGCUACCUGACAGUGAAAUUGUCCCUGAUGAUAAGGAGAAAGGAUAAGAAGAUGCUGGGGACUGCCCGGUUCAGAGUGGACAUACUCAGGCCUAAUUCCUUAAAUAUUCAACUGAACUAGAUGAUGCUCUAUGAUCUAUAAGCUCUCUGUGCCUUGGUUUCUAAUAGAACAAAAUGUAGGGAGCAUCAAUCUCAUAAAUAUUUCUUUUCUUUCUUCUUUUUUUUUUAUAAACUGAAUGGAGAUUCCUGUGCAGUAGACUAUAUCAUAAAUGCUGGCAUUAGAAGAUUAGAAAAACUCCUGUCUUAUAAACUAUUUUAUAUUGGGUAUUUACUAUUUAUAGCUAACGGAUUUCUAAAUAUAUGAUUUGACCUGCUACAUUUAAACUAAGUAAUAAAAUACGUGUCAAAUAAUCCAAGUUAAUAUCCAAAGUCAUGACAUUAUCAAAGUUACAGUUUUUUCUUAAUCUGUCAAGAAUUUCAGUGCUAAAUUGACCUUAAUUUUUUAAAAAAAUAAUAUUUAGGUAACUUUCUGAUUACUCAAAAUAGUUCAGAACUGUAACUCAUGCUCCUGUGUGUGUGUGAUUUUUCUGCCUGUGCACUCUAUAACUGUGACUUGCUCAAGGGUGCUAAGAAGAGAGAAGCUGAUGUGGCUGAUGUUGGAAGGUGAUGAAUUCAUCCAUGGUAAAAGAAAUAUCCCUUAAGGCAGGGGUCUCCAACCCCUGGACCAUGGACAGAUCAGUGGCAGCAUCAGAUUCUCACAGGAGCAUGAACCCCACGGUGAACUCCACAUGCAAGGGAUGUAGUUGCGUGCUCCCUAUGAGAACCUAAUGCUUGAUGAUCCGAGGUAGAACAGUUUCAUCCCAAAACCAUUCCCCUGCCUCCGUAGAAAUAUUGUCUUCCACGAAACUAGGCCCUGGUGCCAAAAAGGUUGGGGCCUGCUGCCUUAGGGCAUGUCCUGUUACCAGCUUCCAGUUGCCCUUGAAGUGGUCUUCAUUAUCCUGGCUUUCUCUCCUCAGCCUCUUCUUCCUGCUGGACUUCCUACGGGCCUAUCCCUCACUGGCUCUGGGUCCUGGGCCUCUACCCAGGCCUGAGUCCAUGUGCUCAGAAAAGGUGUGGUUUCAUCCUUCUGGAGUACUGGUGUUCAUGUGACUGUCCUUUGAAAGAACAGGGCAAGAGUCAUCUGUUUUCUAUUAAACUUUAAUGACAUUUGAUACACACAAGACACUGAGAGAGGGGCAGAGAAAACUGGAUGUGCAGAUAAAAUGGAGACCAAAGUAGUACAUCAGGAGAGAUGUGAAGAUAUCCCAGAAAAUGAAGUGAUUGCCAUUUUUUUCAUUUCUCUCUGGAUUUCUCAAACAAGCCUGCCAAUAUUGAGUGAAAGCACUUUGGAAAGUAGUAACUUGGAUAUCAGAAUAAAUAAAUAUUAUGGAUUCUCCCCUGCAAGUUUUACCCAGUAUCCCUGAAAGAAAAAGCUUCCUCUCACCUGUUUUGACUGUACGUGUGGCUGUGCUCUCUGGCUUCAGAAUUGCUUCUAUAGGAAGAAAUUAAUCAUCGAUUAUUCUACUAAAAUAGAUGAGAAAAUGAACGUGUGUGAAUCGAAAGACCCAUCCUGCCUUAACAAUUUUGGCACAGGCUGGCUGAGAGACUGAGAUAACACAGAGGACUGUUUCCUACAAGAAAGACACAUGUUUCCAGAUUGAGAUUCCAGGGAGGGCAUCCAGUUCCAAGGAUAACAGUGAUGGGGCUGAAUUUGAGACUGGGGUUGCUAUGGAAACAUCCCAGGCAGGUUGGCUAGUGUGGGGAGCAAGGACCGCUGUACACAAGCACCUCUGAAGACUGUCAGGAGUUUUCUAUGAAAAUUGGACUUCCUGCAGUUGUGUAGGUGAGAGAUUGGAAAUAUUGAGGUUCAGCUAUCCAUAUCAAAGAACCGAAUUUUCUCUCACUGGCUGGCAUGAUUUCUGUUAGAAUCUCCAAGACUAAAAGAAUGAGUAGACUGCCUUGAAUGUAAUGAGCCCCCCAUGAUGUAAUACUACUUGUGAGUAGUAUUUAAGGAGAGACCAGAUGGCUUUAUGUCUGUGUAUGUUCAUAUUCCACUAGAAAGCCUGCAUAUGUGUAUGCGUUGCAAAUUGUAAAACAAGUUCUGCAAUAUAAGUGCUAUUAUCACUAGGUAUGUGUAUGUUUCUGCUAUGCAUGUAUGUGGGAAGUCUCGCUGCAUGAGGGCUGACUUUCAAAGUCUCCUUUGCAACUCUUAAGAAUCUGUGGAUUUAUCAAAAUAAAAUAGGCAAUUUUAAUAAAUAAAAAAUCAUGUUCUAAUGGGGAGAUGUUGGUCAAAGAGUACAAACUUUCAGUUAUAAAAGGCAUAAUUUCUGGGGUGUAAUGUACAGCAUGAUAACUAUAGUUAAUACUGUAUUGUAUUGACAUUUGCUAAGAGAGUAGAUAUUAAAUGUUCUCACCACACACAUAUACUUAUGUGAGGUAAUGGAUGUGUGAACUAAGUUGUCUGUAGUAAUAAUUUCACAAUAUAUAUGUAUAUCAAAUCAUCACAUUUUACAUCUUAAAUUUAUACAGUUUUAUUUGUCAAUUAUACCUCAAUAAAGCUGGAAAAAGAUGUCACAGGAGCAGACUUGAUAAACGAUCACAGCUCGAAAAUAAGCAGAUUGAUGUCUGCUCUCUUCCAGGAAGAAAGUUUUAUAGAUCUCUUAUGUCUGCAAAUGGUUAAUAAAUGUUCUUAAAUAAUCCAGGACAAACUAUUUUUUGAUACAAUCUUAGAUUGAAAAGUU